GAUGAACGCUGGCGGCGUGCCUAAUACAUGCAAGUCGAGCGAACAGACGAGGAGCUUGCUCCUCUGACGUUAGCGGCGGACGGGUGAGUAACACGUGGAUAACCUACCUAUAAGACUGGGAUAACUUCGGGAAACCGGAGCUAAUACCGGAUAAUAUAUUGAACCGCAUGGUUCAAUAGUGAAAGACGGUUUUGCUGUCACUUAUAGAUGGAUCCGCGCCGCAUUAGCUAGUUGGUAAGGUAACGGCUUACCAAGGCAACGAUGCGUAGCCGACCUGAGAGGGUGAUCAGCCACACUGGAACUGACACAAGGUCCAGACUCCUACGGAAGGCAGCCGUAGGGAAUCUUCCGCAAUGGGCGAAAGCUUGACGGAGCAACGCCGCGUGAGUGAUGAUGGUCUUCGGAUCGUAAAACUCUGUUAUUAGGGAAGAACAAAUGUGUAAGUAACUAUGCACGUCUUGACGGUGCCUAAUCAGAAAGCCCCGGCUCACUACGUG
rnacentral:rRNA from 1 species